rnacentral:rRNA from 1 species
AGAGUUUGAUCCUGGCUCAGGAUGAACGCUGGCGGCGUGCUUAACACAUGCAAGUCGAACGGGAAUGCUUCGCUGAUGCGAUUUCGGUCAAAUCUUGAAGCAUUUUAGUGGCGGACGGGUGAGUAACGCGUGGGUAACCUGCCCUGUACAGGGGGACAACAGUUGGAAACGACUGCUAAUACCGCAUAAGCGCACAGCUUCGCAUGAAGCAGUGUGAAAAACUCCGGUGGUACAGGAUGGACCCGCGUCUGAUUAGAUAGUUGGUGAGGUAACGGCCCACCAAGUCGACGAUCAGUAGCCGGCCUGAGAGGGCGAACGGCCACAUUGGGACUGAGACACGGCCCAAACUCCUACGGGAGGCAGCAGUGGGGAAUAUUGCACAAUGGGGGAAACCCUGAUGCAGCGACGCCGCGUGAGUGAAGAAGUAUUUCGGUAUGUAAAGCUCUAUCAGCAGGGAAGAAAACAAUGACGGUACCUGACUAAGAAGCCCCGGCUAACUACGUGCCAGCAGCCGCGGUAAUACGUAGGGGGCAAGCGUUAUCCGGAUUUACUGGGUGUAAAGGGAGCGUAGACGGUAGACCAAGUCUGAAGUGAAAGCCCGGGGCUCAACCCCAGAACUGCUUUGGAAACUGGUAAACUAGAGUGCAGGAGAGGUAAGUGGAAUUCCUAGUGUAGCGGUGAAAUGCGUAGAUAUUAGGAGGAACACCAGUGGCGAAGGCGACUUACUGGACUGCUACUGACACUGAGGCACGAAAGCGUGGGGAGCAAACAAAAUUAGAUACCCUGGUAGUCCACGCCGUAAAC